AGCAAUGGAAGAAAAGAAGCGUGUGCCUAUGCACUAGGGCAGCUGCUGUCCAGCAGCUCCCAUCCCUCUCUGCACUCCAUACAGUUCAGCCAUGCCAAAGGUACACCUAGAAGGUCUUUCAGCCACCCUAUGGCAGCCCUAUCUCUUUAGCCAACCACCACCUCCGAUAUCCUUUACCAUUUCAGCCAACACACUCCCUUCACUCAUUUCCUUGGACACUAGAAACCAGAAAUGAGAGAGAGAGAAAAAGAGUUGAUUUGCUGCUGCCUGCACUUCUUCAAGAGUAAAUAUCCACUGGAUUAAAUCCAACAACAACAACGAGCAACGCUAAACCCUCACAAGGUUAAGGCGAGAGUAAGAGCCAGUCAAGAAGUCAUUGAGCUAUAGCAAAGUUUGGUAAUCAGGUUGAGCAGUGGCUGAUGAAGAUGAAGUGAAGAGCGGAGCUUUUGUCAUAAGUUAAAUGAACGAACUCUUGGAUGCAUGUCUUCAUACAUGUAAUCAGAUUAUGUUAUUCCGCUGCGUACUCUUAGGUAUUAUGUUCUUUUAGUUAAGUCGGAUUCAUCUGAACUUACAAGUCUGUUUGAGUCUUUGUGACUAAACAUCAGUUAUAUGGUGAAUUUUCCCUUCUUUA